AGAAAGAGAGAGAGAGAAAGAGAGAGAGAGAGAGAGAGAGAGAGAGAGAGAGAGAGAGAGAGAGAGAGAGAGAGAGAACACACAAGCGAGCUCAUAAUGGUUAGGGAGGCAUGUCAGCAGGCUAUUAGAACAGGAAGCUGAGAUAUCACAUCUUCAGCUACAAUCAGGAAGCAGAAAGUGAACUGGAAGGAGGCAAUUAUGUUGAAACUUUAACCUCUGGUACCUGCAAAUAUGGCCUCAUUUGAAAAAAAAAAAAAAAGUCCAAGCAAUCAGGUGAAGAUGAGGCCAAACUGCUGGAUCACAGGGCCAAUGGCUGCUGUCCUCGUCAUGAAAAGAUUUAUAGGCAUGGAGAUAGCACUUGAAGAUGGAGGUAGAUGAUGGUAUUCUGCUGCUACAAGCCAAGGAAUGCCAAGGAUCAGUAGAAAAUACCAGAAAGCAGAGACAGGUAUUGCCUCUGUGCCUAGGGGUGGAAGGAAUUGAACAGUCACCGGGAGCAAGAGAUGCCACACUGCCACUCACCCAGUAUGAGCCAUGAUUCUCAUCACUAUAAACAACCAGCAAGAAGCAA